UUGCAGUAGGAAAAGUUCCACACAUACUAAUUCAAAUUUGACAUGCACAUAUUUUUUAAUGCUCCGUUUAGAUCAAAAAAUGAUGUUUGUCCCAUAGUUAUUGUACUCACCCAUUACGUAAAUUCUUAUCUUCUAAUGAUGACAAGUUCAAACAAGAUACUCUCUCAUGUCGUUUUCCG
ensembl:ncRNA C13C4.10 ncRNA